rnacentral:lncRNA from 1 species
CGUAGUUAUUAAUGACGGGGAACUAGUAGUUCACGAAUCCGUCUACAACGCCACCCGCCGACGCACCGGAGUUAUGGCCCUCUUUCACCUACUUAUCGCCGAUCCACAACCUGAGAACACAGCCUCGUCAUCUUUCCCGCGCCUUACUUUUCUGGUAUUCCUUUAGAUACAGAUAAUCGAGAAGGCUUAUAAAUAUAUUAUUAUAUACGUUUUCAAAGUUUGCCUUCCUGCUUGUUUUGAACGUCUUUUAUGAAAAAAAUGCAGAUGUCGGAUAAGUUGAGCGUCAGAGGAAUUACGUUCCCUGAAGGUGGAGUGCUGACCGGGGCUUUGCUGGGAGUCGGAGGAAUUAUUAUUUUGGCUGCAGUGGUCGUCGUUGUUGUUCAACUGGGAAAAAAUUACUUACGUACCGAUAUGAUUAUAUGAAGCAUUUCUAUUAUUCGUUUGUGUUACGCAGAGGACGACCACGUCAUCCCUUACCACGAAGUGUGCGCAAAGAGUUAUGCGGAUAAUUAUUAUUGUGUUGUUUUUCUCCAUCCUCUGUUUUUUUAACGCUUAAAUAUUUGUAACCAUAUCCCUUAAAAAGGAAAUAAAAUGUGACCCGGUAAUACUAAUUACGGGCGAUGGUGAAAGAUG